GACGAACGCUGGCGGCGUGCUUAACACAUGCAAGUCGAACGGAAAGGCCCUGCUUUUGUGGGGUGCUCGAGUGGCGAACGGGUGAGUAACACGUGAGUAACCUGCCCUUGACUUUGGGAUAACUUCAGGAAACUGGGGCUAAUACCGGAUAGGAGCUCCUGCUGCAUGGUGGGGGUUGGAAAGUUUCGGCGGUUGGGGAUGGACUCGCGGCUUAUCAGCUUGUUGGUGGGGUAGUGGCUUACCAAGGCUUUGACGGGUAGCCGGGCUGAGAGGGUGACCGGCCACAUUGGGACUGAGAUACGGCCCAGACCCCUACGGGAGGGAGCAGUGGGGAAUAGUGCACAAUGGGCGGAAGCCUGAUGCAGCAACGCCGCGUGCGGGAUGACGGCCUUCGGGUUGGAAACCGCUUUCGCCUGUGACGAAGCGUGAGUGGCGGUAAUGGGUAAAGAAGCACCGGCUAACUACGUG
rnacentral:rRNA from 1 species